rnacentral:rRNA from 1 species
UACGUAGGGUGCGAGCGUUAAUCGGAAUUACUGGGCGUAGAGCGUGCGCAGGCGGUGGUGCAAGACAGAUGUGAAAUCCCCGGGCUCAACCUGGGAACUGCAUUUGUGACUGCACGGCUGGAGUGCGGCAGAGGGGGAUGGAAUUCCGCGUGUAGCAGUGAAAUGCGUAGAUAUGCGGAGGAACACCGAUGGCGAAGGCAAUCCCCUGGGCCUGCACUGACGCUCAUGCACGAAAGCGUGGGGAGCAAACAGG